rnacentral:rRNA from 1 species
AUUGAACGCUGGCGGCAUGCCUUACACAUGCAAGUCGAACGGCAGCGCGGACUUCGGUCUGGCGGCGAGUGGCGAACGGGUGAGUAAUGUAUCGGAACGUACCAUUCAGUGGGGGAUAACGUAGCGAAAGUUACGCUAAUACCGCAUAUUCUGUGAGCAGGAAAGCAGGGGAUCGCAAGACCUUGCGCUGAUUGAGCGGCCGAUGUCAGAUUAGCUAGUUGGUGAGGUAAAGGCUCACCAAGGCGACGAUCUGUAGCGGGUCUGAGAGGAUGAUCCGCCACACUGGAACUGAGACACGGUCCAGACUCCUACGGGAGGCAGCAGUGGGGAAUUUUGGACAAUGGGGGCAACCCUGAUCCAGCCAUGCCGCGUGAGUGAAG